CACAUCUAUCUUAUCUAGCCAAUUCUCUGAUUUAGCUAGGUUCCAAAGAAGAGAAUUUUCUUUGUCUUUCUUGUUUUGUUUUUACCUUGCUGCCAAGGAAGGCCUUGGAUCUAGCUAAUUAUUUACAGAGUACAUGUUUGUUGGCUUGCUUGGCUUGUUGGCUAGGGUUGGGAUCUUUCUCUAGGAUUGUAGUGAGCUUUCAGGAAGAGGUGAAUGCAGCAGGACAUUGGGGUGUUUGGAUGUAUGGGCUGCUUGGAUCUUGUUAGAAUCCUUUGGAUUCAUUAGGCCUGGUUGGACACCCUCGGUUUUUUGUUGCUAUGCGGGAGACAGUGCAGCAUUGCUAGAUUCCUCGGACUAUUUUUUGUUGCAUUUCUUAUUUUGUUCGGUGGCUGUGAGUUUGGCAUUGGCUCGUGUUAUUGAAAUUUGUCUAGAUAAAUUAAUUGCCUGAUCUGUUUGUUAGUCUAGGUUAAUCCUUGGUUUAGGCCUUUAGCUUAAGCAUUAAACAAAUCACAUGACUGGUUACAGAUAAUUGCAGGGACUAUAUAUGGCAUUGUAAUCAAACCACCAUUCUUAGCUGUUUGGUUGGCGAUUUUGAUGGAGAGAGGGGGGUAGGUUGUAGACAUGUCAGGUGGUUAGUUACAAAGAGAGUGGAGAUUUAUGCCUAUUGUGGUUGCAGUUCUGUGAAUCAAAGCGCCAUUCUUAAAUGCUAGAUUAAUUUGGUUGUCUCAUCUGUCACCACAUUCCAUUUUCUAAUUAGCGGUCAAGGAGUAGAUAACUGCACAACUUUGGACAUGCAUGAGGUGAGUAUGCAUGUAAAUCUGUCUCAAUAUUAACUGAUAGGGCAACUAAUGUGACCGUUUUGUUUUGCAGGCAGUGACUAUUAAAAAGAUAGAUGACUGUAACAAAUAAUGUGUGAGAACAAGGAGCCAAAAAUAUUGGAAAACGACCAUAAGAUAGAUAGCGGAUUCAGUGAUUUGGUUAUUAUGGAGGUUGAUGGAACUUGGUCUACUGUCGGAAUUCAGAGCCAUAAAGCAUUGGACUUGGACAAGAGCUCUUCCAUGGCAGCAACCAGCAGUCCAAGGCCAAGCUUCUCUUCUCCAUGGAUGAAUCUCAACUGGAAGCAGCAAGCUAUCUCAAGGGAGGGGAUUCUCAAGUCACCCCACUUCCAAUCCAUGGACUCUAUCCACAAGGACCAAGAUGACGACGACCAGGAAGGAAGGAGCCCACGCCCAACCCCGACGACGGCGGUUCCAUUUGUGUGUCGGCGUCGACCACAACCUCCCUCUCUAUAAUAUGAACAGCGGGGGGCGUCUGAGCCUGCAGUCGGAGUAGCAGCUGACGUAGCAUUUGCAGAACACCGACACGGCGUCAGCCACCUGCAGCUGCUGGGCAGACAGCAGGACGGCAAGGAGCACGCAGACAGCCACAACCUUCACUCUCUCCUUCUUCCCAGUCCCCUCCAUUGAUAAUGGAUUCUUCCUCUUGCCUGUGACAACUUUUGUUGGGUCGACGGCCCCUCUUUAUACCGAAG